rnacentral:rRNA from 1 species
GAUGAACGCUGGCGGCGUGCCUAAUACAUGCAAGUCGAGCGAACAGACGAGGAGCUUGCUCCUCUGAUGUUAGCGGCGGACGGGUGAGUAACACGUGGAUAACCUACCUAUAAGACUGGGAUAACUUCGGGAAACCGGAGCUAAUACCGGAUAACAUGUUGAACCGCAUGGUUCAACAGUGAAAGACGGUCUUGCUGUCACUUAUAGAUGGAUCCGCGCCGCAUUAGCUAGUUGGUAAGGUAACGGCUUACCAAGGCAAUGAUGCGUAGCCGACCUGAGAGGGUGAUCGGCCACACUGGAACUGAGACACGGUCCAGACUCCUACGGGAGGCAGCAGUAGGGAAUCUUCCGCAAUGGGCGAAAGCCUGACGGAGCAACGCCGCGUGAGUGAAGAAGGUCUUCGGAUCGUAAAACUCUGUUAUUAGGGAAGAACAAAUGUGUAAGUAACUAUGCACGUCUUGACGGUACCUAAUCAGAAAGCCACGGCUAACUACGUG